GGGUAUUUAUCUUCGGAAAGAGAGACCGGCGCACGGGUGCGUAACGCGUAUGCAAUCUACCUUUUACAGAGGGAUAGCCCAGAGAAAUUUGGAUUAAUACCUCAUAGUAUGCAGAGUUGGCAUCAACACUGCAUUAAAGUCACAACGGUAAAAGAUGAGCAUGCGUCCCAUUAGCUAGUUGGUAAGGUAACGGCUUACCAAGGCUACGAUGGGUAGGGGUCCUGAGAGGGAGAUCCCCCACACUGGUACUGAGACACGGACCAGACUCCUACGGGAGGCAGCAGUGAGGAAUAUUGGACAAUGGGCGCAAGCCUGAUCCAGCCAUGCCGCGUGCAGGAUGACGGUCCUAUGGAUUGUAAACUGCUUUUAUACGAGAAGAAACACUGCUUCGUGAAGCAGCUUGACGGUAUCGUAAGAAUAAGGAUCGGCUAACUCCGUGCCAGCAGCCGCGGUAAUACGGAGGAUCCAAGCGUUAUCCGGAAUCAUUGGGUUUAAAGGGUCCGUAGGCGGUUUAAUAAGUCAGUGGUGAAAGCCCAUCGCUCAACGGUGGAACGGCCAUUGAUACUGUUAAACUUGAAUUAUUAGGAAGUAACUAGAAUAUGUAGUGUAGCGGUGAAAUGCUUAGAGAUUACAUGGAAUACCAAUUGCGAAGGCAGGUUACUACUAAUGGAUUGACGCUGAUGGA
rnacentral:rRNA from 1 species